CAGUGGUGUGGUAGGAGCGACUCUGCAGAGAGUUUGUAAACUGAGGGACUGAGGGACGCAAACCCUAUUAUAGCCGCAGCAUGACUCUGUGCCAGAUUAUGGGACGGACCAAAAACAACUCAUUCCCGUAACAAAACUCUGAUCGAUGUGUCUGGGAGUGUUGAUGAGAAACAGGAUGCCCCUCUAUGGCCACCAUGCAAACCGCCCCCGGCAGCAAAUUACGCAAGGGCCCCGCCUCCCCCGCACUUUAAAGUAAGCGUUUACAGCGUGAACGUCCGGUAAAGUGAAAACACCCACAAUGAGAGUGAACUGUGGGAACAGAAAUCAGCAGCAGGUACUUGAGAGUUGAACCAAUCGGCAUAGCCGGAAGCACCUUGGCCCAGUGUUUACCGGCUAUAAAAGCCUCGCCUCUCUGGCUGACUCUCUCUUUCUCGCUAUCUUGCUAUCAUCUCUGGUGUUUGGUUUUGUUGCGUUUCAACAUCCAACAUUUACUUUUCAUUAUACAUCACACUCAUGCAUACACACACUUUCACUACUGAUGUUACUGACAAACCACACCUCAUCUUCUACUUAGUUCUUUUUCUGGUUGCAUUUAUGUUGUUAUGUUAAUAAAUUACUUCUAAUUUGUCGUUCAACUGCGUCUCUUUGUUUUUGUCAUGGUUCCAGAGCCGGGUCGUGGCAAUGACAUUCACCUUUCAAUUAUCUUCAACUUUUAGUGACACAGAGUGAAGAUUCAUUCAUUGGUUAGCUAGCAACUACAUGGCUACUAAAGGAGCGUGUUUCUGGGGGCUGGACAUCACUGAUUACUGAACAAAAACACAACUAUAUCAGUUUAGACUUUACUUACAGUUAUGAGUUCCCACGCAGAUCAUUAUUUUUAGGACUCUUCUUGUCCAAAUUCCAUUUUUAUUGCACUGAUUGGUUUGUUUUUCCAGUUCCCUUUUGAGGGAAAAUUUUAUUGCUGCCAGGAUUAUGUUAAAAUAGCCUUGCUUUCUGCGUCAGUUUAUUUCUGAGUCCUAGGUUCAGUUUAGUCACUCCUCGUGUCUUGAUGAAAGAUUUGUCACUGCAAACAGAGCUCAAAGAAAUACUAUACUCUCAGCCCUAAAUACAGUCUGAGAAAACCAAACUCCAGCUGACAAAAAGAACUGAAAUCAGACCAAAAGCUGACAGAC
rnacentral:lncRNA from 15 species